CUAUCAUGAUCACAGAAUAGAAGGCAGCUAGAUUCUGACCUCCAUUUGAUGAUGUGCAUACAUGACUGGAUGGAACAUCUGGGCGUAGCUCCAUCGUCUAUCAGCUCUGCAAGGUAAAGAUGUUAGAGGUACUAUUUGGAGCUUUAGGGCCUGUUUGUUUCCCUCUAAUUUUUUUAAUUUUUAAGUUCUUGUCACAUCGAAUGUUUAGACACUAAUUAGAAGUAUUAAAUAUAGACUAUUAAUAAAACCCACCUUAUACUCUAGACUAUUUUGCGAGACGAAUCUACUGAGUCUAAUUAGUCCAUGAUUAGCGAGCGCGAUGCUACAGUAAACAUUUGCUAAUCGUGGAUUAAUUAUGCUUAAAAAAUUUGUCUAAUGAAAUAGCCUUUAUUUAUACAAUUAGGUUUACUAUCAGUCUAUAUUUAAUACUUCUAAUUAAUGUCCAAACAUCCGAUGUGACGAGGGAUUAAAAAAGUCACGGAUCCAAACAACCACUUAGUCUUAACUACUUUUUUUUUGAGAACCUACUCUUAACUACUAACCGGACACAUAAGAACGGAUUGUGUAACCCCGUGGGUCUACUGUGGCGGAUGCAACAACACAUAGCCUGGAUUGUUCAUUUUCCAUGUAUGGUUGGGAUGCUAGGAAAUAGAGUACAUGUGUUAGAAGAUGAAGAUUCAUAUAUGAUUUACUAGAAAUCUAUUUUUUGACACAGAUUCAUAUAUAAUUAGUAAUUAUUAUGUUAUAAUAUGAUUUAUUAUUAUAGAAACUUUAAGUAUGCUUUAUAAUUUUGUAUAUUUAGAUAUAAAUUUUGAAUAAGACGAACUGUCAAACGUACAUUUAAAAGUCAAUAGUGUCAUAUAAAAAAUAUGGAGGGAGUAUUAAGAUUGCUUGCUUCCGCUUUAGAGUGACAAAAUUGUCAGUCUCACUCUAGUUUUAUCAUCUUGAUUCAGUUUGAAAUUAUUAUAAUCCAGCUUAUUAAGAGUGAGGUAAAACAAACGGAUUAUUGUGACGGAUUAUUAUAAUCUAGAUCUCAGAUUAAUAUCCGGUAAGCUUCUCUAAAAAUAUUAUUUUUAAAUUAUUGGAUGGUUAAAAACCCACUGCCCUUACAUACGCCUCCAACGUGCCAUUAACAGGAUCGUACCCCAUCCUCUCCGAGCGCGAGGUGGACCGAGU
rnacentral:lncRNA from 1 species